AUUGAACGCUGGCGGCAGGCCUAACACAUGCAAGUCGAGCGAGCGGCGGACGGGUGAGUAAUGUGUGGGAAACUGCCUGAGGGAGGGGGAUAACUACUGGAAAAGGUAGCUAAAACCGCGUACUACCAGAUGUGACCCGAUGGGAUUAGCUGGUGGGUGGGGUAACGGCUCACAUAGGCGACGAUCCCUAGCUGGUCUGAGAGGCUGACCAGCCACACUGGAACUGAGACACGGUCCAGACUCCUACGGGAGGCAGCAGUGGGGAAUAUUGCACAAUGGGCGCAAGCCUGAUGCAGCCAUGCCGCGUGUGUGAAGAAGGCCUUCGGGUUGUAAAGCACUUUCAGCGGGGAGGCGUUACCCGCAGAAGAAGCACCGGCUAACUCCGUGCCAGCAGCCGCGGUAAUAC
rnacentral:rRNA from 1 species